GUAAAAAUUUUAUAAGAAUAUGAUGUUGGUUCAGAUUAAGCGCUAAAUAAGGACAUGACACAUGCGAAUCAUACGUUUAUUAUUGAUAAGAUAAUAAAUAUGUGGUGUAAACGUGAGUAAUUUUAUUAGGAAUUAAUGAACUAUAGAAUAAGCUAAAUACUUAAUAUAUUAUUAUAUAAAAAUAAUUUAUAUAAUAAAAAGGAUAUAUAUAUAAUAUAUAUUUAUCUAUAGUCAAGCCAAUAAUGGUUUAGGUAGUAGGUUUAUUAAGAGUUAAACCUAGCCAACGAUCCAUAAUCGAUAAUGAAAGUUAGAACGAUCACGUUGACUCUGAAAUAUAGUCAAUAUCUAUAAGAUACAGCAGUGAGGAAUAUUGGACAAUGAUCGAAAGAUUGAUCCAGUUACUUAUUAGGAUGAUAUAUAAAAAUAUUUUUAUUUUAUUUAGUUCCGGGGCCCGGCCACGGGAGCCGGAACCCCGAAAGGAGAAAUAUUAAAUAUUUAUAAUAAUAAUAAUAAUAUAUAUAUAUAAAUUGAUUAAAAAUAAAAUCCAUAAAUAAUUAAAAUAAUGAUAUUAAUUACCAUAUAUAUUUUUAUAUGGAUAUAUAUAUUAAUAAUAAAAUUAAUUUAUUAUUAUUAAUAAUAUAUUUUAAUAGUCCUGACUAAUAUUUGUGCCAGCAGUCGCGGUAACACAAAGAGGGCGAGCGUUAAUCAUAAUGGUUUAAAGGAUCCGUAGAAUGAAUUAUAUAUUAUAAUUUAGAGUUAAUAAAAUAUAAUUAAAGAAUUAUAAUAGUAAAGAUGAAAUAAUAAUAAUAAUUAUAAGACUAAUAUAUGUGAAAAUAUUAAUUAAAUAUUAACUGACAUUGAGGGAUUAAAACUAGAGUAGCGAAACGGAUUCGAUACCCGUGUAGUUCUAGUAGUAAACUAUGAAUACAAUUAUUUAUAAUAUAUAUUAUAUAUAAAUAAUAAAUGAAAAUGAAAGUAUUCCACCUGAAGAGUACGUUAGCAAUAAUGAAACUCAAAACAAUAGACGGUUACAGACUUAAGCAGUGGAGCAUGUUAUUUAAUUCGAUAAUCCACGACUAACCUUACCAUAUUUUGAAUAUUAUAAUAAUUAUUAUAAUUAUUAUAUUACAGGCGUUACAUUGUUGUCUUUAGUUCGUGCUGCAAAGUUUUAGAUUAAGUUCAUAAACGAACAAAACUCCAUAUAUAUAAUUUUAAUUAUAUAUAAUUUUAUAUUAUUUAUUAAUAUAAAGAAAGGAAUUAAGACAAAUCAUAAUGAUCCUUAUAAUAUGGGUAAUAGACGUGCUAUAAUAAAAUGAUAAUAAAAUUAUAUAAAAUAUAUUUAAUUAUAUUUAAUUAAUAAUAUAAAACAUUUUAAUUUUUAAUAUAUUUUUUUAUUAUAUAUUAAUAUGAAUUAUAAUCUGAAAUUCGAUUAUAUGAAAAAAGAAUUGCUAGUAAUACGUAAAUUAGUAUGUUACGGUGAAUAUUCUAACUGUUUCGCACUAAUCACUCAUCACGCGUUGAAACAUAUUAUUAUCUUAUUAUUUAUAUAAUAUUUUUUAAUAAAUAUUAAUAAUUAUUAAUUUAUAUUUAUUUAUAUCAGAAAUAAUAUGAAUUAAUGCGAAGUUGAAAUACAGUUACCGUAGGGGAACCUGCGGUGGGCUUAUAAAUAUCUUAAAUAUUCUUACA
rnacentral:ncRNA from 1 species